GAACGCUGGCGGCAUGCCUAACACAUGCAAGUCGAACGAGACCUUCGGGUCUAGUGGCGCACGGGUGCGUAACGCGUGGGAACCUGCCCUUAGGUUCGGAAUAACUCCCCGAAAGGGGUGCUAAUACCGGAUAAUGUCUUCGGACCAAAGAUUUAUCGCCUUUGGAUGGGCCCGCGUUGGAUUAGCUAGUUGGUAGGGUAAAAGCCUACCAAGGCGACGAUCCAUAGCUGGUCUGAGAGGAUGAUCAGCCACACUGGGACUGAGACACGGCCCAGACUCCUACGGGAGGCAGCAGUGGGGAAUAUUGGACAAUGGGCGAAAGCCUGAUCCAGCAAUGCCGCGUGAGUGAUGAAGGCCUUAGGGUUGUAAAGCUCUUUUACCCGGGAUGAUAAUGACAGUACCGGGAGAAUAAGCGCCGGCUAACUCCGUG
rnacentral:rRNA from 1 species